AUACGGAGGAUGCAAGCGUUAUCCGGAUUUAUUGGGUUUAAAGGGUGCGUAGGCGGUUUGCUAAGCAGGAGGUGAAAUGCCGGCGCUCAACGUCGGAAGUGCCUCCCGAACUGGUGGACUGGAAUGACUCUGCCGUGGGAGGAAUGUGUAGUGUAGCGGUGAAAUGCUUAGAGAUUACACAGAACACCGAUUGCGAAGGCAUCUCACGAAGGGUUGAUUGACGCUGAGGCACGAAAGCGUGGGGAUCAAACAGGAUUAGAUACCCUGGUAGUCCACGCAGUAAACGAUGAUGGCUAACCGCUGGUUUAUUCGGAUCAGUGGCCAAGCGAAAGCGAUAAGCCAUCCACCUGGGGAGUACGACCGCAAGGUUGAAACUCAAAGGAAUUGACGGGG
rnacentral:rRNA from 1 species